rnacentral:lncRNA from 1 species
GUUUUCAUACCUGAAUUCACAGUGAUGUAUAAUUUUCAGGCCCCUUAUCCCUUACCACUAUGUUCUCACCUUCCUUUGGCAGCCAGGAGGCCCAACCAUACCCUGGGGCGCAUCAGGCAUGACAUUGCUAGCCAGUUGAGGGAAGGGAUUGUCCUGCUCUGCUCUGUGCUGGUGUGGUCUCACCUUGAGUACUGUGUGUGGAUUUGGGCGCCACAGUAUAAGAAAGAUAUAAAACUGUUAGAGAGUGUCCAAAGGAGGGCUACAUAAAUGGAGAAGGGUCUGAAGGGCAAGAUAUAUGAGGAGCAGCUGAGGUCCCUUGGUUUGUUCAGCCCAGAGCAGAGCAGGCUGAGGGGAGGCCUCAUGGCGGCCUGCAGCUCCCUCACGAGGGGAGUGGAGGGGCAGGCGCUGAGCUCUGCUCUCUGGGGACAGCGACAGGACCCGAGGGAACGGCAUGGGGCUGGGACAGGGGAGGGUCAGGCUGGGUGUUAGGAAAAGGUUCUUCACCGAGGUAUUUGGGCACUGGGACAGGCUCCCCAGGGAAGUGGACACAGCACCAAGCUUCCCUUUCCUUUCUUUGCCUUUCCUUACCUUGCUUUGCCUUGCCUUUCCUUUUCAUUUCUUUCUGUCAGGCAGAACCACUGUCAUCCCUGGGGCUGGGCCUUGUGAGGAGGAUCUCAUCUGCGAGAAACUGGCUUGCCUUCCACCAGUGCAGCAUGGCAGGGUUCACGGAGCACUCAAAGUCCUCCUAUUUAGCAUUGUCUUCGUUUUGUCUGGAAUAUUAUUGCUGAUACCCCAGCAAAUAGUCCAAAACAACAUCUACAUUAAAUGGGCAGGGCUCUGGAUGUCAGAAGCGAGACCACAGGAGCUGGCCACAGAACUGGUGCAAUCCAUUGCCCAGUCACGUGUGGGACCCUCACCUCCCUGUAUCUUGUUUUCCACAAGAUACAAUGAGGGAACUAACACCUGCCUCACAGUGACAUGGCAAGGGUGA